GUAAAGCUUCCUUACUUUGGUUCCUCCUUGGCGAUUGAUAUAUCAGACUACCGUCCGACUGUCUGAUUGGAUCUUCACUGCUCUUUGUAGUAUCCAAGGCCUGAGGUGAUGUAGGACGUAAAGUACUGCUAAUAAUUCUCUGAAAUUUGCGGAUUCUUUCGCCUCCCCUAAUGACCAUCUUCCUUGGAACAUGGUGGAGCCUAAGUGAGCACCCUAACCUGUCCUUGAAGCGUCUGUAGUGACUAUCAUCCAAUCUUUUGGUCGAAAAGAUUAUCCUCCU